rnacentral:lncRNA from 1 species
CCUCUUAGAUGUCAUGAUCAACAGAUCCCACUAUUACCCGAGAAGGCACCAACGAAUGUCCGACCCUAUAGAUAUCCACAUUUCCAAAAGGCAGAGAUAGAGAGGAUUGUCACAGAGAUGCUCAAAACAGGAGUUAUACGAGCUAGUGUUAGCCCAUAUUCUUCCCCAGUCUUACUAGUCAGAAAGAAGGAUGGCUCAUGGCGGAUGUGUGUCGACUAUCG